rnacentral:misc_RNA from 1 species
GGUGUUUUUUCUGUUUUCGAAAGGGACCUUAAACAGAAGGCCACUGGCCUUCCUUGUUGUGAUAGCGUCCCUCCCAAGGGUAGGUCGGAAGAAUCUCUUUCGAUGUAUUCCAACAUCGGGUGGAUGCCGGAUUGCUGUCGUACUGCAGUUGGACACACAAUAUCCUUGUGUUCCGAGCAAGGACAGGGGAAACAACUCAAAAUGUGAUCCUUUCAUUUUCGACAUCGGAAGCAGAUGAUGAUGAUGAUGAUGAUGAUACUGAGUAUCAAAGAUGGAUGCUACCAAAGCCACCUCCUGUCAUUCAGAGCCAAGUAGAUAUCCAUAGCCAACUGACAUUCACAGUAUGCUAAAGAAAGAAGUGUAAAUGUAGCUCCUUCCAACUUGUCGGGAAAAUCUGAACAGUUGUUGCACGAUGAGUCAAAUAUUAUAUCAGUGGUAUACUUUAGGAUAUGUGGAAAAUGGUUUCAAAUUUAUUUAUAAACAGUAAAAUAAAAUAUUCUGUGUUUGAAAGCAGCUCUUAGGGUCAUUCCAUGGAGAGUCAUGUUUUAAAUGUAUGCUUUCACCCUGAUACAUAAUUAUAGUGCUUAAGAAAUAACUGGCAGGUAAAUGAGGGUAGAGUCAAAAGAAAAAAACACAUUUUCAAGAAUUUUAGCAAUUUAAUCUAUCUUGUUUCAAAAGGAUUACUUAAAAACAAUAAAUUGUAUCACUCAUCUGGUCUGUUGAUAUUUAUGCAAUGAUAUUAUAAGUUUUAGCUUCAGAUAGCCACAGCAUCUCCAUGGACGUUUUGGGUGAAGAGGUACAAAAACUUUGCUUGCAUUAGUGUGAGGAAUAUAAUACUGUAAUAUUAACUUUGGUGUCUUUUACUAUUCUAGAGGCCCUUGGGGCACUGAAACAAGGUGCCACUUCCCUGUUAAAUAGGUAUCAUAAUUUCUAAUUCUGGAAUAUGAAACCCCUACCCCUAAUCAUGGCAAACUAGAAAAGGCAAAUAAAUAUUAGUGUUAUACUAGACCUUAUAUAAGGCCACAAAUAGUUGAUUGUUGGUUUAGCAAACUCUCUGAUUCCAGAAAGCAAAUGUGAAAUGAGAUUAUUAUUGAUUGUGUAUUAUUUUCAGUAUAUCUGUAAACUACUAACAUCAUGAGGUGUACUCAGCAAGUAUUUCGUAACUCUACUCUACCUUUUUUUUUUUCUAUUUUCUAUUUCAGAUCAGGAUCACCGGCUAUUCACUGCAAUUGAAAAAAUUUGAGAGGAACAGUCUCAGCAGAGGGAAAUGUUGCACUCUAUAUUGCAGCUAAUUCAAAAUAUUCCAUCCUCAUCCUCCAUUUCGGAGACAAGGAAUCUCCCUGACACAAUUCAUUUCCCUUGUGAGAGUCAAGAGGAUGUUGAGGCUUUGGAAGCUGAAUUAAGUGAUGUUGCGGUUCAAAAUAACAUAGGGCUGUUUGCAAGACUAUGGAAAAUGCAACAGAAGCAGAGGUUGAGUUGGUGACUUGAGAAUGGCUUUGGACUGCUAGUGACAAAAAUGGUGGCCGAAGGAGGAGAGAAAAAAAAUUUGGACAAGUCUGCUUUUGACAAUGAAUCUGCUACAGAUCUCGAGUUUGCACAAAUUAAAAAUUAAGAUAACCCAUUUACGGGUUACCUCAAUUCUUUAAGGUAAUCCAUUUUAGCAACACACUGGUAACAAUAGGCUGAAUAGUUUUGCAUACAUGGUUUUGUCUUCCAUUCAAAUUACUCAUUCACCAAGUUAGUAAUACUCCUAUCUGUGGUUUCAAAUACAAUUUUAUUGAUAUCUCUCGCAUUUAAUGUAUUUUUCCUAUUUCUGCACACUCUGCCCAAUCUCAAAUUCAUAUUGGCCCAACAUCAAGGAAUAUGUCAGCCUGAUGUUGCGCCACGUUGCAAAAUGAAAUCAGGCCAAAAUCAAACCGACACAAUUUCUGAUGUAGGGCUGAUAUACGUGACAACAUCAGUUUGAUAUUGGCCCAAUAUGGUUUUGCUGGCUGGGACUUCAGGUUGUGGAACAGCAAGUAUGGCAUUUACCAAUGCAGCCUUCAGAGAUGCAAUUGUUGUUUUUGUUUCUUCCGGCAGUCCUGCUUUGUUGAUAUUCUCUCUGGCUCUUAUAAGUGAAAUGGUGAGUCUGAAGCACUUUGGUAUCCACUUUGUGCUGCAUUUUUGUACUCAAUACAAAAUAAGAUAUCUAUAUUUUUAUCUAUUAUCUACUAUUGCAGAAAGGAAUUACUGAUAGGAUAUUAUAAUUCAUAACAUCGGCCUAUUGUUUUUGCCUAUUGCACUAAAAGAUUAAUGAGAUUAAGCUGACCUUUUAGACUUUUUCAAGUUAUUCACAGGUCAAAUCAGAUACACCACCGCGGCACAUCUCUCUCUUCGAUUCUGUUAGGUGAUUCAGCUUCACCACGAUAAAUAAACAGACAAGAAUUUCA